rnacentral:rRNA from 1 species
ACUCCUACGGGAGGCAGCAGUGGGGAAUAUUGGACAAUGGGCGAAAGCCUGAUCCAGCCAUGCCGCGUGUGUGAAGAAGGUCUUCGGAUUGUAAAGCACUUUAAGUUGGGAGGAAGGGCCAUUACCUAAUACGUGAUGGUUUUGACGUUACCGACAGAAUAAGCACCGGCUAACUCUGUGCCAGCAGCCGCGGUAAUACAGAGGGUGCAAGCGUUAAUCGGAAUUACUGGGCGUAAAGCGCGCGUAGGUGGUUUGUUAAGUUGGAUGUGAAAUCCCCGGGGCUCAACCUGGGAACUGCAUUCAAAACUGACUGACUAGAGUAUGGUAGAGGGUGGUGGAAUUUCCUGUGUAGCGGUGAAAUGCGUAGAUAUAGGAAGGAACACCAGUGGCGAAGGCGACCACCUGGACUGAUACUGACACUGAGGUGCGAAAGCGUGGGGAGCAAACA